ACGGCCAUACCAAGCUGAAUGUUCUCGUUAGAUCACCGAAGUCAAGCAUCAUUAGGCGCGGUCAGUAAAGGUGGGUGACCCCCUGGGAACACCGCGUGCCG